GACGGAGGAUGCAAGCGUUAUCCGGAAUGAUUGGGCGUAAAGCGUCCGCAGGUGGCAGUUCAAGUCUGCUGUCAAAGACCGGGGGCUUAACUUCGGAAAGGCAGUGGAAACUGAACAGCUAGAGUAUGGUAGGGGCAGAGGGAAUUCCUGGUGUAGCGGUGAAAUGCGUAGAGAUCAGGAAGAACAUCGGUGGCGAAGGCGCUCUGCUGGACCAUAACUGACACUCAGGGACGAAAAGCUAGGGGAGCGAAUGGG
rnacentral:rRNA from 1 species